UAAAAGCUGCCAACCCACAAUCAAUUCACUUUUUUGGCCUUUUAAAAUGUUUAUGUAUCGGUGAAAGCCAAAUUUUGGGGAUCACUAAGAAGAGUGUGGAGCAAUAUCUGACUCGGCAGUUUCCACUGUGAGUGUGCACCAGAAUCACCAGCGGGGUCUUGCAGGCUGCAGCCAUAUAGUUUCUGAUCCGGCAGGUCAGGGAGUGAGGUCUGAGAGUUUGCAUUUCUAGUUGUUUCCCAGGUGACGCCGCUGCUCAUAGUCUGAGAAGCACUGUGUGAGAGUCCCGGGUCUGGCUUGUCUGUGGUGGGAUGGGUAAGGCUUUCGGAGACCCGAAGGGAGGUCCUCGCUGUGGGCAGAGACGGAGGCCACCCCCAUAACCCAGAUGUACAGACACUACUCCAGACUCUGCAGCCGUGGAGCUGUUGUAAAGGAGAGAAGCCCUGCCAGCUCUGAACAGACAAUGCUCUGACUUGUUGGGUGAGACAGUUUCAGUGUCAGCCACCAGCAGCAGCUUUAUCUGCAUUUCUUUUAUGCUUUAGGACACAAGCAUGGUGAUCCCCAUUUCACAUGGGGAAACUGCCCACAGUCACACAGCUGGACGUGGGGGAGAGGUCGGAAUGCGCCCACGUGAUCUGGCUCUGGGCUCUUGUUCUCGCCAUGGUGCCAUGCUGUCUUCCUGGAACAGCGUAUACUCCGCUGACGUCCUCACAUACAAGCAGAGCACUGUGAGAGGAGCGAGUGAACUUGGCCUUCUGUGGGUGAUGGGCACUGCUCUUCCGAAUGUGAGCCUUUCUCUGUCCCUGCUGUAAUUCACCCCUUUCUUAUUUGGCCCUUUGUCCUCUCCUCUGGCUCUGCUUGAAGCAUGGCUGCCCAUCCUCUGGGAACAGCCUUCAUUUGCAUUUCUCAAGGAAGGUCUGCCUUUGGAAAUUCCUUAACAUGAUUUGUAAUGGCAACAUUUGAAAUUCUUUGAAUUUCCUCCGUGUUCAGCACAAAGCCAUCAAAGUGAACGGCCAGGGGGAUGUGCUCAGCAUCAACAUGAACUGAUGGGCAUCAUCAGCUGGUGAGCUCUGUGUCUGAGCAGGGCAUCCAGCAGGUUUUUAAAAUACCUGCAAGUUUCUCCUGGAUCAUAACUGCUGCUUGUUCUUGGUACAGUUGCUAAUGCUUAUGCUUGCUCCUGCUAUUGCACUUCUACUCUCCCCAAAUCUUAUUUUUCAGUUUUAUUUUCUGACUGUUUCUAGAAGAGUAUGAUAUGGGUACUUUGACAUUGCAAUCAGUAGCAUGUCAAAAGAGCAAGAAGACAAUCAAGGGACUCUAUUUCCUGGGCUAAGGAUCACCUGGAAAUGCUUUCCACCUAUGGAAACUAGUCUUGUGGUACCCAUUUUGACUUGGUAUUUGGGGAUUAAAAUUUAUAGAGACAAUUCAGAAAUUUGUCCUAUAAGAUUAUGAAAAACAAUUCU